CAAUAGCGUAUAUUAAAGUUGUUGCGGUUAAAAAGACUCGUAGUUGGAGUUCUGCCAGGUGCCGCCUGUCCCGCCCCAGUGGUGAGUACGUGGCGCGCAUUUGGCCCUUUCAAGGGGAGCGUAUCUGCACUUUAUUGUGUGGUGCGGGAUCCUUGAACUUUUACUUUGAGGAAAUGGGAGUGUUCCAAGCAGGCUCUCGUCGUGCACAGCUCAGCAUGGAAUAAUAGCAUUGGACCUCGAUUCUAAGCUGUUGGUUGCCAGGAAGCGAGGUAAUGAUGAAGAGGGAUAGUUGGGGGCAUUUCGUAUUUAACUGUCAGAGGUGAAAUUCUUGGAUUUGUUAAAGACGGACUUACUGCGAAAGCAAUCUGGCCAUGGAUGUUUUCAUUGAUCAAGAACGAAAGUUAGGGAUCGAAGACGAUCA
rnacentral:rRNA from 1 species